AGCUUUGCACAGAGGCAGUACCAUAGCCAAUGAGCUUUAUCCAAGGUGUGAUUAUUGCUCAUUGAAAACUUUUCCCAAUACUGCACCAUGAUGACUUGAAAUACAGUCCAGGGGAGGGGUAGAUAGCAUAAUGGUUAUGCAAAGAGACUUUCAUGCCUGAGGCUCCAAAG
rnacentral:snRNA from 1 species